rnacentral:rRNA from 1 species
UACGUAGGGUGCGAGCGUUAAUCGGAAUUACUGGGCGUAAAGCGUGCGCAGGCGGUUCGUUGUGUCGGUGGUGAAAGCCCCGGGCUUAACCUGGGAAUGGCCAUGGAAACUGGCGAACUGGAGUGUGGCAGAGGGGGGUGGAAUUCCGCGUGUAGCAGUGAAAUGCGUAGAGAUGCGGAGGAACACCGAUGGCGGAGGCAGCCCCCUGGGCUAGCACUGACGCUCAGGCACGAAAGCGUGGGGAGCAAACAGG